rnacentral:lncRNA from 1 species
AUAAAUAAUGAUUGUUGGUUAAAAUAUAUGAAGAGGAGUGGGUGUAUUGUGAGUGAUGCUUUGAAAAUAAUAGAGUAAAGAAUUGGUAUGAAGAUAUACAUCAUAAUUGUAUUUGUAGCAUAAUUGUAUUAUCUUUUGAUGACAUAAUAUAACAUUAUAGAUUUGUAAGUUUGAACUUCAAGUGACAAAAUGGUGCAAAAAUUGUAAUAUUUGUGAACAAUAAAUGUUGAUUUUAAAAAUAGCUAAGAUAUUUGAGGUCAUUAAUAUGAGUAUUUUACUAAAAUUUAGAUUUCAUAAUGAUUUAAUUUUACUUUUCUUUUCUUAGAGGCAUCUUAACAAUUAUAUAACAAAAAUUGGUAAAAAAAUGAAAAUGAUCCUUAAAUGAAUUUAGAAAAUUGUUAUUCUUGCAUAGUCUUUAGAUGGUCAAGUAGUUGAAUAGUUAUGUGAGUAGAAGUGAAGUUACUUAGAUGGAUACAUACAAAUAGACAAUCACUAUAAUUUUUAUUGUAUAAGAUGUAUAUAUGUACAUUUAUUGUAUGUAACUUUUGUAACAUUUUGUGUAUGAUUUCAUGUGCUUUAAGAAUAUCUAUGAAAAGAAUAUUUGUGUUAUUUCAUGCAAGACACAAUUUAGACCAAUAAAUAAAUAAAUAAAUCUAUAUAUAUAUAUAUAUAUAUAUAUAGAUUUCAUGUGCUUUGUGAAUAUCUAUGAAAAGAAUAUUUGUGUUAUUUCAUGCAAGACACAAUUUAGACCAAUAAAUAAAUAAAAAAAUCUAUAUAUAUAUAUAUAUAGAGAGAGAGAGAGAGAGAGAGAUACCAUAUUUCUUUGUUGAAUGAUUUUAGUGCAAGCAAACAUAUUUGGAGGUUAAUGUUUAGUUCUUUUUCUUUCAGCAACAGUUUUUAUUCUAAAUUUAUAAUUAUCUGCAAAAUGAUUUUGAUAUUUUCAGAAACUCAAUUUUCUUAAUUUAAUAAUACACUGUGUGCAGCAAAGAAAUUGUUUUUAAUAUGGUAUUAGUUACCACACUUCAAAAAUAUUAUGCAAGAGAAAUUGCAUAAAUUGAAUAAAUUACAUAGCAUAUAAAGUUUAUUCCAUUAAUUAUAUUCAACAUUUUUAUAACAUGGCUACUUAAAAUUUUUUGAGUUUGAUGAUUAAUUAUUUAGAAAUAUAAUUGAAAUUUAGAACCACAAUGAAAUCGAUAAAUUUUGAACAAAUGUUUGUUUAUACAAAAAAAAUGAUAUCAAUUUAUACUUCUAAAAAAUCUUUUAAAAUCUAAAUAUAAAAUUAUACACCUGUUUUUAAUAUAUCACUGAGUAUUUUAACAAAAAAAAUUGAUUAAAAAAUUUCAAAUUAUGGUUGUUAAGAAACAAAUUAACAUAAGAUCAGCUAAACACUUUAUUUAAUGCAUCUUCAUAGUAUUAAGAAUUAUCAUUUUAUGAUUUUUAAAAAUAUAAAAAAAUAAAAUUUACAUACAAAAUAUUUUAAAUAUCUUAAAAUAUGUACAAUUCUUGAUAUUUCGUAAUAAAAAAAUUAAGUAAUCAUUAUUUAUUCAUUAUUUCAAAAACAUAUUUUAUAUAUAUACAUAUAUAUACACACACAUAAACACCACUUUUGAACUGACAACUUUUUAAAAUAUUGCAACCAAUUGCAUACUAUAUAUAAUUCAAUUCGCAUAUUUAAAAUCACCCUGCAUUUUAC